rnacentral:rRNA from 1 species
GACGAACGCUGGCGGCGUGCUUAACACAUGCAAGUCGAACGGAAAGGCCCUGCUUUUGUGGGGUGCUCGAGUGGCGAACGGGUGAGUAACACGUGAGUAACCUGCCCUUGACUUUGGGAUAACUUCAGGAAACUGGGGCUAAUACCGGAUAGGAGCUCCUGCUGCAUGGUGGGGGUUGGAAAGUUUCGGCGGUUGGGGAUGGACUCGCGGCUUAUCAGCUUGUUGGUGGGGUAGUGGCUUACCAAGGCUUUGACGGGUAGCCGGCCUGAGAGGGUGACCGGCAACAUUGGGACUGAGAUACGCCCCGGCCCCCGACGGGGGGCGGGGGGGGGGAUUUUGGAACAGGGGGCGGAAGCCUGAUGCAGCACCCCCGGGUGGGGGAUGACGGCCUUCGGUUUGAAAACCGUUUUCGCCUGUGACGAAGGGGGAGGGAGGGUAAGGGGUAAAGAAGCCCCGGCUAACUACGUC